UUUAUUGGAGAGUUUGAUCCUGGCUCAGGAUGAACGCUGGCGGCGUGCCUAAUACAUGCAAGUCGAGCGAAUGGAUUAAGAGCUUGCUCUUAUGAAGUUAGCGGCGGACGGGUGAGUAACACGUGGGUAACCUGCCCAUAAGACUGGGAUAACUCCGGGAAACCGGGGCUAAUACCGGAUAACAUUUUGAACCGCAUGGUUCGAAAUUGAAAGGCGGCUU
rnacentral:rRNA from 2 species